ensembl:lncRNA
UUUUUUUUUUUCAUGUUCAAUGCUCCAGAAAGAGAUUGUCUGACUUCCAAGGGCUUUUUUCUGCAUCUGCUAACUUAAUUAAAUUCCUGGUGUCAAAGCCCCAUUAAAGUGGCCAGGCAGAAAAGGUGCCUGGUUUGUUGCACCAGAUAAUUAAAUUGUGUCAAGAGAAUAAUUGGCUCAAUGAAGUAGUGUCAAUGCUUUUUAUCUCUUACCCUGAAGAAACUAACUUUAAUUGCUGCCUUUUCAGAAUAACUUGGAUUUUUCAACAACUUUCUUCAAAGAAGGCUUUAGGAUUUGACCAACCAGAGUCAGAAUGCUACAGAUAAUAACGAAAAAGGGCUGGCAGUUCACGGAAGAGCAAUAAAGGGAGAGACGGGGAGAACGAAGUUUCAGGAAGAGCGGAGCAGGGGCCUCAGCAGAAGAGGAGACAGAGGACAGGAGAUGGAGACUGAAAGAAGCAACUCGAGGGGAGAGAAGGGAGAGCUGGAAGGAGCACCCCAAACACGCGGCCGGGCGUUCAUCCACGCUGGCCCUUCCAACACGCCCCAGGGCUCACCUCUGGACAAUGGCUAGCUGAGCAAAUGACCCUUUCGCGACUGUCCCCUGAAUGGCGGGUGGGUAGGUCUUCCCUGAGAAGUCCUUUGAAGCCUCCUCAGGGACGGCGGAAUCAUCACACGGGUGACUUUACCUGGCGCACAUCCAAUUCCACGUGCCCGUAAGAGAGAGAGGAGGAGAAACUACGGUUUAGAAAGGGGUGGUGGUGGUGGGGGAAUGGCACCCACAUUCCAUCCAGAAAGCAAUGCCCGUCUGGAGGUGAGCUGGCGGUGGACGCUGUGUCUCCGCCUCUUUCUCCGGGUGGGUGAGCAUCUUCACCGCCGGGGGUGCGAACCCAGUGCUCAAAGGGGAGCGUUUCCACGCACCCCAAGCAUCCUCCGCAAAUGGCGCUCUGCUGAACAAAGAGCAGGUCCGCCCCGGCUCUGGGGGAGGAAGGCGGCUGUGCUGGGCUUGCCCUGUGCCCGUGCUGCCCUCCGCCAGCUACCUUCCUGUGGACGUGCCAAGGAUAAUUUGUACCCACUUUAGAUGGAGACUCUUGUUCAGGGGGCGGCACCACCGUUUUGCCGAAGUGAGCCCCUACCAUCUGCGGAAUUCUGAGACUCUGAAAAAUGAAACCGUCUCCAAUUACGGGACUUAACCUUUGGAAUGGAGGCUCGGCGUCAGGUGACCUCUUGGCAGGCCCGACGUAACCAGCUCCCGAGCUACGCAGCCCGCCAGCCGGCUGCCUCUGGGCCCUCGGCGGGGUGCUGCGCCCUCUUCUUCACGGCAAGCCCUUCUGUUCCUGCCUUAAUUUUCUCCUCUCUGAUUUAAACAAAAUUCCUUCCUUUCACCACCACCAGGAAGGCAUGGUUUUCAGAGGGCUGUUUCGCCUUUUCAGACGCCUUGAAUUGACCGGAGACCUUACACUGCAGUCGCUUCGAGGGAAAGAACCGUGCCCAGGCGAUGUGAGCCGGGAGAAGGAAGGACAAGGUGCGGCCAUUCGCCGUCGGGCACGUCUCCUCCCGCCUGCAGCGUCAAACGACAUUCGUUUCUCCCUCGUUCUAAGCCCCUGGCAACUACUGGUCUGAUUAACGGUUCAUAUAGGUUCGCUUUUUCGGAAACAUUUGAAUGGAAUCAUAUAGUAUGUAGUGCGUUGGGUCUGGAUUCUUCCACUGAACAAAUCUGAGAUUUUUCUAGUCUGUCCAUGUCUUGGUAAAAAAUCACGGCGUGGAUGGACCACAGUGCAUGUACUUGUCCAUCAGCUGAUGGAAUUUGUUUUUUUCCUGUUUGGGGCCUGAAUCAAGCCACUGUAGACUUUUGUACACAGAAUUUUGAGCGAACAAAAGUUUUUAAAUGUUUAAAAUAAAUACCCAGAAGUGAAAUGAUAACAGCGGGUGCGUGUUGAAAGGGCUAAGAAACAGCCAAACUGUUUGCCAGAGUUUUCCAAAGUGGUUUCACCAUGUGGCAUCCUUACCAGUCCAAGGUCUGAAUCCUCCUUCCUUUAACCUGGACAGAAAUUUAACUUAAUAACCAUUUACUGAAAGCCUUUCUGGGGUCAGCCAUUACCCAAGGGUAGCCAAAACUUGGCUCUAAGCUCAAAUGUGAAAAACAUGAGGAAUUGUUAACAUUUUUUUGUCUCUGAGCCUUUGGUUUUUAAAACAAAAAUUUCAGUGAAGAUUCGUGUGUUACAUUACAGUCUGAGGCACAUGUCACCUUUUCACUUCAUUGCACCCUUGAGUAGAAGCGGAACUGAGAGUGGUCAAGGUUAAGGGUCCCACGGGAGCUCGGUGCUGGAGGACGCGGCUUUUCAUUUGAUGAGCGGAAUUCCUCACGGAACUGCCAUCCUACUGGGGGGAUCUUUUUUACUUGUUUCUGAAGUUUUCUCUUUGUUAUUCUUUCCCCGUGCUCUCUGUCACUGCUGGCUGCUUGUCUGCAAUGCUUCUACACUGGGAUCCUGCUCUUUGGAAACUCUGUGACAUCACUGUUGUAAGGCAGACCUGGAGCAUCGCCCCUUUGGUAGGGGUUCUCUCCCGUAGAAUAAUAAAAAGAGCAAUAUACAACAAGCCAUCAAUGAAUACACUUUUUAAAGUGCUUGUCGUGCGAAAGGCCUCCUGCUAAAUGCCUUAAUACAUUUAUUUAAUGCUCACAAUAACAGCUUAGAGCAAGCCUCGUCUCCGCAUUUUAUAGAAAGAGGAACUGACAAUCAGAGAAAGGAAGUCACUCAUGUUCCAAAGCCAGGGACCCGCAGAGUGGCAGAUUUAGAGUCUGUGCCUCCCUCUUCCCAUCGGUCAGAAGCACAGGGGAGAAACUGGGCUGGAGAGACUGGCAGCUGAACGGAGGCAGCGGUGGGAGGGGUUGUCUUGUAGGACAGCCUUGACCCAUGGGACACGGCGUUAUCUCCAGUUAGAUAGUGUCAGAAUUGAAUUGCGCGGCACCCAGCUGGGGUCCAGGGAAUUGCUUUUUUGUGUGGGAGACCCACCACCCUCAGACACACACAUACACUGGAAGUGGGUCCAAGAUCCUCAAACAGAAGCCUUCCCUGACUCAGAGGAAGAGGGAGUUGCUGCCUCCCGAGAGCUCUCGUGGCUCUGUCAUGCCCUGGCAGGUCGCUGGAAUUAUAGAUGACGCGCUCCACAGUGCAGAGGCCACGGGUUUUCAUCAUGGUGACCUUGGGACUCGUUUCUGUCCCUGGCAUGCAGAAGGUACUCGGUACACACAUGUUCAGUGCUGGCAGGAGUGAUUCAAGGAACACUUGUGUGCGCACUGACCACAGAGGAAAGGGGCUUUCUGGCCUCCGUCCUUUUCCCUCCCACUUGCACACCUCUGCAAGGACAGCUGAUCCCAGCCCAGGCCCCUCCUUUCUAGAUGCAACUACUUGGCAUCGUCACGGAUACUCUGCGGGUAUUUUGCAGGGGCAGAUACGGAGCUGAAGGUGUUCUAGGUAAGGACCCCACGAGGGCGAGAGAAUCCCACCUGAUUCCCCCCCCCUCUCUCUCUGCACCCUGCGUCAGGGACAGGAGCCACCCUGCCUCCACCCCGGGGUCUUCGAGACCAGACGCUGUAAGACAGCUGGAAUCCGUAGCUUCUUCACAGAAACCCUGGACCGGUGAUGACCCAAAACAACCCAAAUCCCAGGGGCUUAGGCUGAAACGAUCUGCCACAGGAAUGUAAUACUCCAAAUAGUUUUCCGUUAGUUCUGGUUUCCAUUUAUCUUUCUUUCUUGGCAGGUAGGGCAAGGGUGAGAGGAAAACGGGGCAGGUGGAGAGUGGGAUUUGAUUGAAUUACCUGCCAGGACUUCAGAGCCCCACACAAAGGAAAGUCACACCUCACCUUGGCAUCUCUUUAGGAGCCAUGGCUGGAAGGCUGCUGAUGGAGCGGCUAGUUCUCCAGAAAGCACGAGGCUGUUCUCAGAUCAUUCGUGGGGCAGCAUCAGGGGAAGAAGGGCUUCUUUUCU